rnacentral:rRNA from 1 species
UACAUAGGUCUCAAGCGUUGUUCGGAUUCAUUGGGCUUAAAGGGUGCGUAGGCGGCGCGGUAAGUCGGGUGUGAAAUCUCGGGGCUUAACUCCGAAACUGCAUUCGAUACUGCCGUGCUUGAGGACUGGAGAGGAGACUGGAAUUUACGGUGUAGCGGUGAAAUGCGUAGAUAUCGUAAGGAAGACCAGUGGCGAAGGCGGGUCUCUGGACAGUUCCUGACGCUGAGGCACGAAGGCCAGGGGAGCAAACGGG